CCGGGGCUUUCUCCCGUU
rnacentral:tRNA from 1 species